GAUGAACGCUGGCGGCGUGCCUAAUACAUGCAAGUCGAGCGAACAGACGAGGAGCUUGCUCCUCUGACGUUAGCGGCGGACGGGUGAGUAACACGUGGAUAACCUACCUAUAAGACUGGGAUACUUCGGGAAACCGGAGCUAAUACCGGAUAAUAUAUUGAACCGCAUGGUUCAAUAGUGAAAGACGGUUUUGCUGUCACUUAUAGAUGGAUCCGCGCCGCAUUAGCUAGUUGGUAAGGUAACGGCUUACCAAGGCGACGAUGCGUAGCCGACCUGAGAGGGUGAUCGGCCACACUGGAACUGAGACACGGUCCAGACUCCUACGGGAGGCAGCAGUAGGGAAUCUUCCGCAAUGGGCGAAAGCUUGACGGAGCAACGCCGCGUGAGUGAUGAAGGUCUUCGGAUCGUAAAACUCUGUUAUUAGGGAAGAACAAAUGUGUAAGUAACUAUGCACGUCUUGACGGUACCUAAUCAGAAAGCCACGGCUAACUACGUG
rnacentral:rRNA from 1 species